GACGUAGGGCGCGAGCGUUGUCCGGAUUUAUUGGGCGUAAAGAGCUCGUAGGCGGCUUGUCGCGUCGACUGUGAAAUCCCGCGGCUCAACUGCGGGUCUGCAGUCGAUACGGGCAGGCUAGAGUUCGGUAGGGGAGACUGGAAUUCCUGGUGUAGCGGUGAAAUGCGCAGAUAUCAGGAGGAACACCGGUGGCGAAGGCGGGUCUCUGGGCCGCAACUGACGUACUGAGGAGCGAAAGCUGGGAG
rnacentral:rRNA from 1 species